rnacentral:lncRNA from 1 species
CUGCCUCCCUUGAGCAAUCAGUGGGAUGCCCAACGUACUCACAGGUGCUAAUCGCAUAAACAACUGCUGAUCCGCUUAGAGCCGAGAGAUGAGCAGCGGGACAGAGACAGGGCUGUCCUCGCCCAUGGCAGGGUGGCACAUCUCCAGCAUGUCCAGCUCCCUGAACCGCUCCAGAACCCGCAUCUUGCACUCCUCAGCUGCCAUGACACCAGUGGAGAAGGCGCCGUGCACUGUGCCUGUGUACUUGACACUUGUAGCCUCCCCUGCGAAGAACAGGUUGUCCACAGGGAUGCGCAACUUCUCGUACAGGUCGCGGGGUUUAUUCACCCCAUCAAACGUGUAGGAACCAAGCGUGUUCUCAUCCGAGCCCCAGUGUGACACCAGGUAAUUUAUCUGCAAUAAAUUUUUCAGCAACAUGGUUGUCAGAAAUGCCCUAGCAGGAUUCUUUGAUUAUUGUAGUUGACAUAGUGUUGACAAACUAACCGGCUCAGCUGCAUUAGGAAGGAUCUUCUUCAACUGGGAGAAGGCGAAUUGGGCAGCUGCCUCAUCAGACAUCUUUUCGAUAUCACGAGCAAGGCGGCCAGCAGGCAUGUAAACGAGAACAGGGUGGCCUGUUGCCUUGUGAAGGUUAAGGAAAUAGCUGCAUCCAUACGUGCUUGAGGAAACGACCCCAAGGAACUCCACGUUAGGCCAGAAAACCUGGCUGAAGUGAAGAACAAUUUUAUUCUCAAUUCCAACUGAAAGUUCUCUAACUGCUUCUUCCUUCCACUCUGGCAGUCUCGGCUCAAAUUUAAUAGUGUUUGCUUUCAGAACACCCAAUGGAACAGCGACUACUGCAGCAUCAGCAACAAAUGUUUUGCCACUGCUUACAGUAACCUCUACCCUGUUCCUGUGGCGAACAAUUUCAACAACCCUAAAGAAAAUAGAAGGAUCAGUACUGAAGGAAUGGCAGACAAAACUGCUGCUUAGCAAAUGAAUAAGAAAAUGACAUCCAUACUUAUGGUUGAGGCGUAUAUCUAAGCCUUUUGCCAGAGUAUUUAUAACUGGACGAUAUCCACGAACCAUGAGGCCAUGGCCACCUGGAAGCAGCACCUCCUGCACCCCACAAACAUGUCAUACAUAAAGCACAGGAUUUCAUCAUGUGCAAGUGCAACUGUGCAAGUAUACUGACCACUCCAGGCACUAAAGGGGGAAAAAAACAUACCUGGUCCCAACCCUGUAGUGAGAUUGAAUCGGCAUCAGUGGCAAACCAACCCUCCAUACGGCACAAAUACCACUGAAGAACUUCAUGAGCAAUCCCUUCUUGCCUGUUGUAAAGUGUAAGCACAUGAAGAAGCCAGUAAAAAUGACCGGUAUGUUUGUGCUGACAGCUGGAGAAAUGCAGAAAUUGGAUAGUACAAACCUCAAGUGCGGAUGUCUAUCCAUAACAAUUGAGAUGGCUUUUGCGAUAGACAUAUCUCCAUUGGUUUCUUCCCUCAAUUUGCCAGUCUGCACAGAAGUGGGUAAAUCAGACAAAAUAAACUAUACCUAAAAUCAACAGGCACCAGUGCACCACUGAUUGAAAGGAGGGAGUACCUCUUCCAGUAUGGCCUCAAACACCUUUCCAAUCUUUUGUACUAACUCCUGUGGUACUUGAUGCCCAUCAGUGUCGUAGAGUGCAUAACUGAAAGGCAAUAGAACAAGUUAGAUCCCAUCAUUGGUUCCAUCAUCUCUCAAAGUAUUUAUAAAACAGCCCAGAUGCAAAGUUUUACCUCUCCAAAUCAUGAUCAAACAGAACAGAAUCAUCUCCACUCGUGCGGUACAGCGGCAGUCCAAGCCUCCCAAUUAUUGGUGCUAAGGGAUUUUCUUCACAGACACCAUGAAGCCUGAUUAUUAAAAAGGUGAAGAAAAACUGUUCAUAACAUUCCUUCAAGAUAAACUUUUGUUGAAAGUUUUUUUUAAAAAAAGAAUGAAACUCACCAAGAUGCUCCCAAAUCGACAGGAAACCCAAAAGAGUAGUCGGUGUGAACUCUGCCACCUAUCCUAUCACGGGAUUCCAGGAGAAUAACCUGGAAUGCAUCACAACAAUUGAAAUGCAUUAUAAAAGGGUCAUAUCAUUUUCGCCAAAGAAAUACAAAGGUCGCCGUCACACCACCAACAGAAGAUGACCAUAAGUAGCAUUAUACAAUACCUGGAAGGAUGCAUUUCUGAGCGCAUCAGCAGCAGCAAGCCCUGCAAACCCACCACCAAUAACAAUAGCAGAUGGUGUGUGUGACUUUCUCCUAACAUUUUCACCAUAUGAACCUGACACAAAGACAAAAUAGAAUGUUUUAUCUCAGAAAAGGUAACACAGGUGUGUUCAGAAGUACAAGUUUAGUUAUAUUUAUUUAUCACAUAUUGAUAAGGAGUAAUAAGUUUCAAAUACAUUUCUGGUCAAAUUCAUUAUUCCAGCAGUACCACCAUUUGGACACAUAGACCAGAAGGAAAUAAAAGUGGAUGGCUUCUGCUUUUCUGACUAUAUAAGAAAGUUGUGGAAACAUUGCCAUGUCCAUUACUGCUACAGUGUUUGGAUGACAUACAAACCUGUUCAAUGUCAAUUUUCUACAGAUUUUGAUGCAAUUGGAUGGUUGCUUAUCUGGUGGGGUUUAGCGUUAAGACAGAUAGAUUGCUCCGAAGAGCGGAAAGGGGAAGUUUCUACCUCCAAAUGAUAAAAGACCAGUUCAUACAGAAAUAACAUAAAAGAAGCCUACCAAGUGGAGAAUAUUGCCGAUAUCGCCUGUUCUUCUCACAUCAACCCUCCUCUACCCCCCUCCACCAUGGAGGGUUAGUAGUGAGGCAUGUUCCCCUGUCUCAGAACAAUGAUGAUGAGGUAAGACAGGACAAUUUAAGAUUUUCGCUUAUCCUUCCCAAUUUAGGUGAGGCCUGAAUUGGUCUGUAUUAACUGUGGGUGCUCUGACAUGAGAUACUCUUGACUCUUCCAACAUUUUCAUAGCAAGCAUAACACAAUCAUCUAGCAGCUUUCCUGCCUGGUUCGUUUCAAAGAAAAAAAGAAAAACAUAAUCAUCUAGGUUUGGACAGGACACAAGGUCAUUUAGUCAUUGCCUCAUUGGUACACUCUUCUAGCUUACGUUCGGACGAGAUGGGCAAUUAAUCUUAAGGUAAAGAAGCGUGGCAUGUCUUGAGGCUAAUGUUUGUCUUGGCAUUACAAGUUACUUGGUAGGAUUGUGGUAGGUAACUCUAGUAGAGACCCCAAUAUCGGAUAUGCUUUGGGACACUAAAAAACAGCACAACUUUAAUGGUCACCAAGCAUAUCUCAUCUAAGGCCAGCAGGCACAAUGAAAUGCACUUAGACCCAAAAGUAAAUACCCCUGUAUGUGUGACAAUUAAGCAAAAGCACUAUGUACCAAUAAUGUAACAGCUACAUGCAAAUUGCAGCAUCAGAGGACAGUGAACAAUUAAACAAUGACAUCCACUAAGCAACAUUAUCAUACACUAGUCUAUCCAUGUCCGUGUGCAUGACAAUGACGUGGGUCGCGCAUGCAUGGAAUGAAGCAUGGCACUUAACAGGAAUGUCAUAUCACUUCAAGGCAUAUGCUUUUUCCUGUAAUCAAAUUUUGUGGUAAUCAAUAUAUGCUAAAAUUCCCAUGCUGUGAGACAGUGGUAGGCUUGUGAGAGCAAUUACUUUACUGAUACAAGGUCUCUUCUAACCUCAUUAUUUUGAAAAACCACAAGAGUCUACAAAUCCACAAGGACAUGGACUUGUUCUUGCCAUGAGCUACUAGGUCAAAUCCUAGAAGCUUCCAAGUGGUCGGUCCCCUCUUGCGUGAGAUAUUGGUAUACCAAGUGUAAAGUGUGGACAGCUAUACUCUUUGUUUUUCCCUUCCUACCACCGACAAAUGAAUAUGAAACUUCAUGGUUCAUGGCCCUUUCAUCGGGCCCAUGCAGCACUACCAAACAACCAUAAGAACCUCGAAUCUUUUGGGUUAUCGAAACAAGUUUUUUUAAACAAGAUCAGAAGCUAAUUAAGGUGGAGAAAUUCAAUUUUGCCACAAAAUUACCAGAAAGGGCAUGUGAUCCAGCAAAUGUACACCUAACCAACAGCCUAACAACGUCAUGUCAUAUAAUAAACAAGAACGGAUCCACAAGUUAUUAUAAGCCUACAAUUCUUCACCUGAGUAGCUUUAAUAAUUCGCAUCUAUACAAGAUAUAUUUUCCUUUUACCAACGAAAACUUAAAAUUGGAAGAAAAAUCAAUCUGUCAACUAGAAGCCCCACAAUUCAAAGAGCUCUGGGAGGAGAAGUAAGAAACUUACUGUUGUUCGCCAUCUGUGCAGCUCUGUUCUUCUCCUUCACGAUUACUACUUGAAUUAGGAUUGGACGGAUUUAACAACUGAGGGGAGAAAUGCAGCAGGAAGAUGAGGAGGCAGGCGACGUAGUGGUUCGAGUUCGAGUUGAGUCCCAGGUUCACGAAACAGUUCAUGCAGCCGUGCAGCCGGAUCGCCGCAGCCCUCCUAGGAAUUCACGGUUCCCCCUCUCUUAUCUCACACAGCCUUCCAGUGUGCCCCCGAUCCCAUCAAUUUUCAGCCGAUUCGGUUGCGGGGCAGAGGAAAACUCCGGCGGGGCAGGCACAACUGCAGAAUCAGAGGAAUCAAAACAGUCAGCUCAUCACAAAACUUGAUCUCACCGCUUCUAUCACACACAAACGCUUCGCGGCAGGCGAAAAUCGCUACCGAAUCGAAGGAUUCGCUGCAAUUUUGGAGGGGAAGGCGUGUUCCUCUGAAGCAAUCAAUCUGGGCCGAGCAAAUACAAAAUUCGCCACGCAACCCGCGGGAACCGACCCGGAAUCCCGUCCCCCGAAAGCCACCAAAUCGCCAAGGCGAUCGAUCGAGCAAUCCAGGGAACCCAGGCCCCCCAAAAGAAACAAAACAAAACAAAAACAAAAAAGGAGUCCGUCCUUUACUCCCCGAAAACCAGGCUGGAAUCACGCGACGCAAAGCGCAGACUCCUCGGGAAAAUCACGCAACAGUGCAACACCCACCUUCAAAACUCGGUUCAGGACUCCGUCCACCAAUCGGAUCGAGUCGCACCCAGAAACCUAGCGGGGGCCGAAGAGCUGGAGAUUUUCGUCUCGGGGGAUUCGGAGACGGGAGAGGGGAGGGAGAGUCCUCGCCUGCUGCUGUUUCCUGCCGUUUGGGGGAGCCUUUUUCGCCUU